CCAUGUUAAAAUCUGACAUAAAUAGGAAUAAAUAGUUGGUUAAAAGUCUGUAGACAGAAAAUAACGUCGCUGUUCCUUUAAGGAACCAACGUUACAGUCUGGGUGACGCUGCAGUACGCAGAACUGAGGGAGAGAGCAGGGGAGGAAUCGGAGGAAAAGAGCUGUGAUUAAUUAACAGGAAAAGUUAUUGUAGUAAAAAAAAACAACAUAAUUUACCUGGUCGGGAACUGACGGGGGUUUUAUGAGAACUAAGUUACAUCGGUUUUGGUCAGGUUUUUUUGUCCGGUCGGAGCAAGGAUUGGUCUGCCAUGUGCGGCGUGCACAUUCACAGAUGGGAUUCAAGAUGGCGAGCCAGACCAAAACUUCAAUUCAUCUUCUCCAUCGCAUCAGAGAGGGACUCUCCCGCGUGUGGUAAUCCGCUGCAGGAUCGGUAGGAAUAUCAGGAACUAGUUCGAACUGAACUGAAUAGAACUGAGAACCGAUUGAAUUAUUAUCUUUUUGGAUUGAAUCAAACUGAGACUUUUCAUUGAACUGAGUACCUGGAUUUACAUUUGGACCUGAACUUGAAUUUAAAGUGCCAUACUUUGAUUUUCAUAUGUUUAUGUCUCUGAAUGUGAUUUGAGUAAUUGUGGUCCACUUUGAUUUAAUUGUGUUUGAAGGUAUUUUCCUACCUGUAAAAGAAAGGAAAAUGAGUUAACUCAGGAGAAAAAUAGAAAUCUUAAAAUAGGUGCAACCUAGGAAAAAGAGACCGGUCUAAUUAACUCAAAUUAGUCUGAUUAAAAUAACCUAGG